GUAGGUGGCAAGCGUUGUCCGGAUUUAUUGGGCGUACAGGGCGCGCAGGCGGUUCGUUUAGUCCGAGGUGAAAUCUCCCGGCUCAACUGGGAGAGGUCUUCGGAUACUGGCGGGCUUGAGGAGAGCAGAGGUGAGUGGAAUUCUGGGUGUAGUGGUGAAAUGCGUAGAUAUCCAGAGGAACACCAGUGGCGAAGGCGACUCACUGGGCUCCACCUGACGCUGAGGCGCGAAAGCGUGGGGAGCGAACCGGAUUAGAUACCCGGGUAGUCCACGCCGUAAACGAUGGACACUAGGUGUGGGGGGUAUUGACCCCCUCCGUGCCGUAGCUAACGCAGUAAGUGUCCCGCCUAGGGAGUACGGCCGCAAGGCUA
rnacentral:rRNA from 1 species